rnacentral:rRNA from 1 species
GAUGAACGCUGGCGGCGUGCCUAAUACAUGCAAGUCGAGCGAACAGACGAGGAGCUUGCUCCUCUGACGUUAGCGGCGGACGGGUGAGUAACACGUGGAUAACCUACCUAUAAGACUGGGAUAACUUCGGGAAACCGGAGCUAAUACCGGAUAAUAUAUUGAACCGCAUGGUUCAAUAGUGAAAGACGGUUUUGCUGGCACUUAUAGAGGGAUCUGCGCCGCAUUGGCUAGUUGGUAAGGUAACGGCUUACCAAGGCAACGAUGCGUAGCCGACCUGAUAGGGUGGUCGGCCGCCCUGGAACUGGAACACCGACCUGACUCCUACGGGACGGAGCAGUAGGGAACCUUCCGCAAUGGGCGAGAGCUUGACGGAGCAACGGCGCGUGAGUGAUGAAGGUCUUCGGAUCGUAAAACUCUGUUAUUAGGGAAGAACCAAUGUGUAAGUAACUAUGCACGUCUUGACGGUAACUAAUCAGAAAGCAACGGCUAACUACGUG